rnacentral:rRNA from 1 species
GGGACCCGUCUUGAAACACGGACCAAGGAGUCUAGCAUGUGCGCGAGUCAUUGGGACUCUAACGAAACCUAAAGGCGUAAUGAAAGUGAAGGUUCGCCUAGCGCGAACCGAGGGAGGAUGGACGGUCGAUCGUGGCCGUCCCGCACUCCCUGGGCGUCUCGUUCUCAUCGCGAGAAGAGGCGCACCAAGAGCGUACACGCUGGGACCCGAAAGAUGGUGAACUAUGCCUGGUCAGGACGAAGUCAGGGGAAACCCUGAUGGAGGUCCGUAGCGAUUCUGACGUGCAAAUCGAUCGUCGGAACUGGGUAUAGGGGCGAAAGACUAAUCGAACCAUCUAGUAGCUGGUUCCCUCCGAAGUUUCCCUCAGGAUAGCUGGCGCUCGCUUCUCGCGAGUCUCAUUCGGUAAAGCGAAUGAUUAGAGGCAUUGGGGUCGAAACGGCCUCAACCUAUUCUCAAACUUUAAAUGGGUGAGAUCUCCGGCUUGCUUGAACUGUGAAGCCGCGAGAUAUCGGAUCAGAGUGCCAAGUGGGCCACUUUUGGUAAGCAGAACUGGCGCUGUGGGAUGAACCAAACGCCGAGUUAAAGCGCCUAAAUCGACGCUUAUGGGAUACCAUGAAAGGCGUUGGUAACUUAAGACAGCAGGACGGUGGCCAUGGAAGUCGGAAUCCGCUAAGGAGUGUGUAAA